UUAAGCGACUAAGCGUACACGGUGGAUGCCCUGGCAGUCAGAGGCGAUGAAGGACGUGCUAAUCUGCGAUAAGCGUCGGUAAGGUGAUAUGAACCGUUAUAACCGGCGAUUUCCGAAUGGGGAAACCCAGUGUGUUUCGACACACUAUCAUUAACUGAAUCCAUAGGUUAAUGAGGCGAACCGGGGGAACUGAAACAUCUAAGUACCCCGAGGAAAAGAAAUCAACCGAGAUUCCCCCAGUAGCGGCGAGCGAACGGGGAGCAGCCCAGAGCCUGAAUCAGUGUGUGUGUUAGUGGAAGCGUCUGGAAAGGCGCGCGAUACAGGGUGACAGCCCCGUACACAAAAAUGCACAUGCUGUGAGCUCGAUGAGUAGGGCGGGACACGUGGUAUCCUGUCUGAAUAUGGGGGGACCAUCCUCCAAGGCUAAAUACUCCUGACUGACCGAUAGUGAACCAGUACCGUGAGGGAAAGGCGAAAAGAACCCCGGCGAGGGGAGUGAAAAAGAACCUGAAACCGUGUACGUACAAGCAGUGGGAGCACAGAGCAAUCUGUGUGACUGCGUACCUUUUGUAUAAUGGGUCAGCGACUUAUAUUCUGUAGCAAGGUUAACCGAAUAGGGGAGCCGAAGGGAAACCGAGUCUUAACUGGGCGUUAAGUUGCAGGGUAUAGACCCGAAACCCGGUGAUCUAGCCAUGGGCAGGUUGAAGGUUGGGUAACACUAACUGGAGGACCGAACCGACUAAUGUUGAAAAAUUAGCGGAUGACUUGUGGCUGGGGGUGAAAGGCCAAUCAAACCGGGAGAUAGCUGGUUCUCCCCGAAAGCUAUUUAGGUAGCGCCUCGUGAAUUCAUCUCCGGGGGUAGAGCACUGUUUCGGCAAGGGGGUCAUCCCGACUUACCAACCCGAUGCAAACUGCGAAUACCGGAGAAUGUUAUCACGGGAGACACACGGCGGGUGCUAACGUCCGUCGUGAAGAGGGAAACAACCCAGACCGCCAGCUAAGGUCCCAAAGUCAUGGUUAAGUGGGAAACGAUGUGGGAAGGCCCAGACAGCCAGGAUGUUGGCUUAGAAGCAGCCAUCAUUUAAAGAAAGCGUAAUAGCUCACUGGUCGAGUCGGCCUGCGCGGAAGAUGUAACGGGGCUAAACCAUGCACCGAAGCUGCGGCAGCGACGCUUAUGCGUUGUUGGGUAGGGGAGCGUUCUGUAAGCCUGUGAAGGUGUGCUGUGAGGCAUGCUGGAGGUAUCAGAAGUGCGAAUGCUGACAUAAGUAACGAUAAAGCGGGUGAAAAGCCCGCUCGCCGGAAGACCAAGGGUUCCUGUCCAACGUUAAUCGGGGCAGGGUGAGUCGACCCCUAAGGCGAGGCCGAAAGGCGUAGUCGAUGGGAAACAGGUUAAUAUUCCUGUACUUGGUGUUACUGCGAAGGGGGGACGGAGAAGGCUAUGUUGGCCGGGCGACGGUUGUCCCGGUUUAAGCGUGUAGGCUGGUUUUCCAGGCAAAUCCGGAAAAUCAAGGCUGAGGCGUGAUGACGAGGCACUACGGUGCUGAAGCAACAAAUGCCCUGCUUCCAGGAAAAGCCUCUAAGCAUCAGGUAACAUCAAAUCGUACCCCAAACCGACACAGGUGGUCAGGUAGAGAAUACCAAGGCGCUUGAGAGAACUCGGGUGAAGGAACUAGGCAAAAUGGUGCCGUAACUUCGGGAGAAGGCACGCUGAUAUGUAGGUGAGGUCCCUCGCGGAUGGAGCUGAAAUCAGUCGAAGAUACCAGCUGGCUGCAACUGUUUAUUAAAAACACAGCACUGUGCAAACACGAAAGUGGACGUAUACGGUGUGACGCCUGCCCGGUGCCGGAAGGUUAAUUGAUGGGGUUAGCGGUAACGCGAAGCUCUUGAUCGAAGCCCCGGUAAACGGCGGCCGUAACUAUAACGGUCCUAAGGUAGCGAAAUUCCUUGUCGGGUAAGUUCCGACCUGCACGAAUGGCGUAAUGAUGGCCAGGCUGUCUCCACCCGAGACUCAGUGAAAUUGAACUCGCUGUGAAGAUGCAGUGUACCCGCGGCAAGACGGAAAGACCCCGUGAACCUUUACUAUAGCUUGACACUGAACAUUGAGCCUUGAUGUGUAGGAUAGGUGGGAGGCUUUGAAGUGUGGACGCCAGUCUGCAUGGAGCCGGCCUUGAAAUACCACCCUUUAAUGUUUGAUGUUCUAACGUUGGCCCCUGAUCGGGGUUGCGGACAGUGUCUGGUGGGUAGUUUGACUGGGGCGGUCUCCUCCUAAAGAGUAACGGAGGAGCACGAAGGUUGGCUAAUCCUGGUCGGACAUCAGGAGGUUAGUGCAAUGGCAUAAGCCAGCUUGACUGCGAGCGUGACGGCGCGAGCAGGUGCGAAAGCAGGUCAUAGUGAUCCGGUGGUUCUGAAUGGAAGGGCCAUCGCUCAACGGAUAAAAGGUACUCCGGGGAUAACAGGCUGAUACCGCCCAAGAGUUCAUAUCGACGGCGGUGUUUGGCACCUCGAUGUCGGCUCAUCACAUCCUGGGGCUGAAGUAGGUCCCAAGGGUAUGGCUGUUCGCCAUUUAAAGUGGUACGCGAGCUGGGUUUAGAACGUCGUGAGACAGUUCGGUCCCUAUCUGCCGUGGGCGCUGGAGAACUGAGGGGGGCUGCUCCUAGUACGAGAGGACCGGAGUGGACGCAUCACUGGUGUUCGGGUUGUCAUGCCAAUGGCACUGCCCGGUAGCUAAAUGCGGAAGAGAUAAGUGCUGAAAGCAUCUAAGCACGAAACUUGCCCCGAGAUGAGUUCUCCCUGACUCCUUGAGAGUCCUGAAGGAACGUUGAAGACGACGACGUUGAUAGGCCGGGUGUGUAAGCGCAGCGAUGCGUUGAGCUAACCGGUACUAAUGAACCGUGAGGCUUAACCUU
rnacentral:rRNA from 2 species